AGGAUAAACGCUGGCGGCGUGCUUCAGGCAUGCAAGUCGAACGGACCUUCGGGUCAGUGGCGGACGGGUGAGUAACACGUGAGCAACCUGCCCAGAAGCGGGGAAUAACCCACCGAAAGGUGAGCUAAUACCGCAUGUGAUGUACCUUCCCUGGAGGGUCCAAUUAAAGGCUUCGGCCACUUCUGGAGGGGCUUGCGCUCGAUUAGCUAGUUGGUGGGGUAAUGGCCUACCAAGGCUGCGAUCGAUAGCUGGUCUGAGAGGACGGACAGCCACACGGGGACUGAGAUACGGCCCCGACUCCUACGGGAGGCAGCAGCUAGGAAUCUUGGGAAUGGGCGAAAGCCUGACCCAGCAACGCCGCGUGGCGAUGAAGGCCUUAGGUCGUAAAGCCCUUUGUGGGGACGAGUGAUGACGGUACCCGCGAAUAAGCCACGGCUAACUACGUGCCAGCACGCCGC
rnacentral:rRNA from 1 species